rnacentral:rRNA from 1 species
CAGCCGCCGCGGUAACACGGAGGGAGCUAGCGUUGUUCGGAAUCACUGGGCGUAAAGCGCACGUAGGCGGCUAUUCAAGUCAGGGGUGAAAGCCCGGGGCUCAACCCCGGAACUGCCUUUGAAACUAGAUAGCUUGAAUCUUGGAGAGGCGAGUGGAAUUCCGAGUGUAGAGGUGAAAUUCGUAGAUAUUCGGAAGAACACCAGUGGCGAAGGCGACUCGCUGGACAAGUAUUGACGCUGAGGUGCGAAAGCGUGGGGAGCAAACAGGAUUAGAUACCCCCGUAGUCCCUGUCUCUUAUAC